CCAAGCUUCGUUGCGGGAGCUUGUAACCCGAGUGGGGGCAUUAAAGUGGUUCGGAUGUUGGGUCACGCUCCCGAGUCUGGGUUCAAGUGGUGCGAAUGGUUGGCUAGCCCGUUCCAAGUGGAGUAGCGAGAUAUGCGCCUUGAGCGAAAGCUUGGGUCGCGCAUCUCCUGAAGAGGAGGGAACAGCGUUAGGCUGGUUUCACAGAGCAGCGAACACCUCCCGCUCUCAACAGUGGAAGGACAACUAGCCGCCGCCCCUGAGGCCCUCCGCGGCUCGCGGGCAGACCAAUAGCGGACAACCACUUUUUUUUUUUCUAAUUUUUUUUUGUGGGUAAAUUAUCUCUAUUCUCACUUUUAAUGAAUUCAUAUUUGACUAUUAGUUAUUAUAUUUUUUAGGUAUAAAAGAAUUGCUAACCAAGUUGCAAGAUUCAUCCGAGACAUAAUUUCAAGCUAGAUAUGAACAUUUUGAUUUGGGUCACACUUGGAUGAGUCUUUGGCUUUAACAGUUUUUAUUGGCCGGGCCAAAGCUUGUCCAAUCGAGUUAGCCCGAGUCCAAAAUCAUGACCCAAAAGGUAAGCAAGAUGGGUCCGGCUUAGUGUCAGCCCUACCCAUUUGCAGAUAUAGGCAUUCAGCAGUAGUCUAUAUAUUCAAUGUGUCAUCUGCUAGCGUGACAUCCAAUUCCAAAUUCAACAAGGACAUAGGUAUAUAUUAUCGUCAUCUAGUAAUACAUAAAUGUCAACAAAUUAUGAGGCUAUAACUAUAGUCAUGCUUUUUUUUGCUCCACCAUAAUGAAGGAUAGCAAGCUUCCCAUCCCAGUGAUUCCAAGCACCACUUUUGUACCUUGUCCUGAGGGUAAUUAGCACACACACCCCCUAUCCUGCUCCUGUCCUACCUAUCAAAGACCAAGCCACUAAGUCCCACCAAUCCAUCACAAUCCUCUGAUUAACCAUCAGAUGUCUCCCAUCAUGUUAUGUUAGCUGCAUAGCAUUGAUUGAUGCUACUUAACCAGUGUAGCUUAAGGGUCUAAUUGUACAAUUCCUGCUCCAUAUCAGAACUAAUUCUAGGGCACCACAAUCCGAGUCUGCCAAUCAGACAUCUUAUUCACAUGAUAACAGUUCUGAAAGUCUUUCUGAACGAGCUUAAUCACACUCGAGGUCUUCUUGUUGCCCACAAGAAUAUGAGCUUAGUUUCUGUGUUUUUAUUGUUUUGUUCAGUUAUUACUAAAUUUCAUCAGAAUCUGUCAGAACUGGAUCUGUCUAUAGGUGGACACAACGAAACUUAUUUUCCUAAUCUCCGAUGUUCUAAUUCUACAAACCACAAACCUCCCAGACUGCCAUCUAGGAUCAGAAAUCCAAAGUCUUGAGCUUCCUAGAAAUCCUUGAUUUGAUAAUAGGGCUAAUCUCCUCGAUUCUGACAUCUAGAAUUCUCAUCACUUGUUGCAAAUAUUCCAUGUCCUUUUAUGCAAACCUUUUACCACUUAAAUUUCAUGAAAAGUUCCGAUGCAGUAUAGGUGGGAUAAGGCUUGCAGGUUGGAAACUUUCAUCCAGAUUAACCAUUAGAAAGAAAAACUAAUUUGCAUUAGUGAAGGAUUCAACUCAUGAUAAGGUCUUGCCCAAAGAAAUGAAAGAAGGCUGGUCGUUAUGCUCUGACAACCAGCUGACUAUAAAUAUUGACGAAUUUAUUUGAUUAUGACCCAACUUUCAGGUUCGUCCCAAUACGAAGGAAACAAAACCCACGGCCUUUGCAAAACCAUAGAUUGCCAGAAGCCAUGUGACGAGGCAUGCAGCUCAAAAUGAGCCUGCCUGCGCAAAAGGAGGAGAUCAGGCUUCGAGAUGCCAUGAACAGUGUUGGGGGAAUGUAAGUCGCUCCCUAAGCACUUGAGCGCGCCAACGGCCCACGACCUCGGAAUCGCCCGACCCCGGACAUCCGACCGGACGCCCGACCGCGUCCGACCUGGCGCCCCGCCAGGCGUCUAACUUCAGAGCUCUUGACCUCGGAAGUCCGACCUCGUCGCUUACCUACCGCGGUCGCAUCCUUCGGAAGUCCGGUCAUGGGCCAUACCCUGUCACCGCCCCCAGCAUUCAAUGCGCAUGGUCUUUGCAGACCCCCGGCUCACUCAACGUUUAAUGUAUAUCUCCGGCUCACUCAACAAUUAAUGCAUAUCUCCGGCUUACUCAACAAUUAAUGUAUAUCUCCGGCUCACUCAACAAUUAAUGCAUAUUUUCGGCUUACUCCACAAUUAAUGCGCGUGGCUCCUAUUAUCUACGGAUCUUCGGUCCUCCACGGCAAAUCAGCUCGGCAGUGUUCGGUCAGCCGUGACAACUCUCUGAUCCCGGCCUCACCUCCGACAUCAAGGUAUUAAUUCACCUGAUCGCGCGCCAACUCAUGCGACGUGCUAAGCCGUACGGCAACCUCGCCCCAUCACAUCACAGGUAACCCAACACUCCCUAUAAAAAGGGGACCCCUCCAUCCUAGAGGGGGUUGGACUCUGAAACCCGAAAAAGUAUAUCUUCCUCCUCUCUCCUCCCCCACAGAUUGGCCCCCUCUGACUUAAGCAUCGGAGGGCCGGCGCCGGAAACCCCAGCCACCGGCUUUCUUGCAGAUCUCUCGGAGGAUGCUGCCCGCCGACGGAUCACCGCCCGCCAGUUCUCGCCGGAGCUCCUCCUUCCCGCGGACAGGUCAUCCCCGGGUCCCGUUUCCAGCAACAGUUGGCGCUAGAGGAAGGGUCCGAGUCGCGGCCAUGAAGUUGAGAAGUAAAGGAGCCUCCAACGCUUUCCGGCGUCUUCCGUCAAGUCCUGGACACUCUGUCCAGAACUCACUUUCUUCGGCUGAUCCGGUUUCUCAAGUUCAACCGGAGCAGUUCAACGUCCUGGUGCAGCAAGUCCAGGCUUUGGCCGCCGCCGUCCAAGGCCUGCGGCAUGAGGAAGCCCCACCUACGCUGCCUCCGCAGGCCCAGAUCCCGCCGGAGCUUCCUCCGAAUGGCCCGAUCCUCCUGGGCCAGAAUCUUCAUGGCUCUUCCAGGGCCAAUAACGAAGAAAGAGCGUCACCCCAGAGAGAGCUGCCAGGGGGAAGCCUAGACAGAAGACUGCAGCUCUUAGAAGCCGAGUCGGCCCCGGACCGCCGCGAGUCGGAGCAGACUACUGUGGCAAUCUCCCAGGCCGGGGAGCUCGAUAGGAAGGUCGAGAAUCUUGAGCGCCAGAUCGAGGCGCUUCACAGCAGAAAGGCAAGGCNNNNNNNNNNNNNNNNNNNNNNNNNNNNNNNNCCCCUUUUCCCGCCAGAUCGAGGAUGAGCCGGUUCCACCCAGAUUCAAAAUGCCCCAGGUGGAGCCCUACCACGGGACUACCGACCUCCUCGAUCAUUUGGAGAGCUACCGAGCCCUCAUGGCAUUGCAAGGGUCUUCGGAGGCCGUGCUCUGCAAGGCCUUCCCAGCUACUCUGCGGGGAUUGGCUCGGCUUUGAUUUUCGGGACUGAAGCCGAGCACAGUCUCCUCUUUUGAGCAGCUCGGCAGGCAGUUUGCCACCAACUUCGUUGCCAGCCGGCGCCAGCGGCGAACGUCGGACUCGCUCCUGGACGUCAAGCAGCGGGAGGGAGAAUCUCUCAGGGAGUAUCUCGACCGUUUCACCGCUUCAACCUGGGAGGUCCGCGAGCUCGACCAGUCGAUAGCCAUGUCGGCGCUGAAGACUGGGGCUCGCUCCUACAGAUUUCUCUUCUCUAUCAAGAAGAGCUUCCCUGCCGACUUCACCGAGAUGCUGGCCCGAGCUCGAAAAUACGCGAAGGCCGAGGAGGCUAUCGCCUCUAGGCGAGGUGCGAUCGAGCCGGCUUCCAAGAAGCAGAAGAAGCGCCACGAGGAACGUGGCCACCCGGAAAGUCGAUCUCCCCGCCAGGAUGGGAACCUGCCUCGACUAAGGAGCCCGCCUCGGCAGCAGAGACGGUUUCGAUCAAGGUCCCAGCCUCGACCCAGAUCCCCGCUACGGCCUCGGAUGCACUCGGGGAGGUACGAGAACUACACUCCCAUCAACGCAUCUCGGGCCGAGAUCCUGAUGGAGAUCGAAGGUCGGGAUUUCUUCCGACCCCCACCCCCGAUGCGGGACAUAGGAGUCCCGCGUAAUCCCAGAAAGUACUGCCGCUUCCACCGGGACCACGGCCAUGAUACGGAGGAUUGUUUCCAGCUCCGAGACGAGAUUGAGGCGCUCAUCCGCCGCGGGGUACUCAACCGGUUCGUGCGGGGCCGGCGUGAGGAAAGGAGGCCGGCAGAAAACGCCGUACAACCCGAAAAUCCAAAUGAUAAUAGGCCCAUCGCCGGCACCAUCAAUGUAAUUGGAGGAGGAAGCCCGGCUGGAGAGCCAGCCCAAGAGGGGAUUCCCCCAAAGCGCCCGCGCACUUCCGAAGCCAUCUCGUUCUCGGACAAGGAUUUGGAAGGGGUUGAGACCCCUCACGAUGAUGCUGUGGUCAUCUCUAUAAUUGUAAACAAGUUUGAUGUAAAGCGUGUCUUAGUUGAUAAUGGAAGCUCGGCUAAUGUUUUGUACUUUGACGCCUAUUCUAGAAUGGGGAUGGCAGAGAAGCAAUUACAGAGGAUGAACGCCCCGCUGGUCGGAUUUACUGGAGACUCAGUUCCAGUGGAGGACGAGAUCGAUCUCCUGAUCACGGUCGGGCUCGCCCCCCGAGAGAGUACCGUGAGGAUGGAUUUCCUCGUGGUGCGUUUGCCCUCGGCCUAUAAUGCCAUCCUUGGAAGACCAGGGCUCAACGCUCUUCAAGCCGUGGUCUCAACCUGCCACCUACUUAUGCGGUUCCCCACCGGCCAAGGAGUCGGCGAAGUCCGUGGGGACCAGGCGGUAGCAAGGCGAUGCUACAUGGCGACCCACGAAGCGAAACAACCAGCCAAAGUGUCGGCCUCGACAUUAGAUGGCAAGCUCGCGGCCGAAACCUUAGAGGCACGGGUCGGCCCACAGAAGAAGCGGGUAGAGCCUGGUGAGCUACUCACCCAAAUUUCCUUACGAGAAAAUUGCCCUGAGCUAACCGUGCAGGUCGGCUCCGGCCUUGAUGCCCGCGAAAGGGAACGCCUUAUCAACUUUCUACAGGCCAACAUGGACGUCUUCGCCUGGUCGCCUGCCGACAUGCCGGGAAUAGAUCCGGAGGUCGCAGUCCACCGACUCCAAGUAAAACCGACCUGUAAGCCCGUGCGACAAAAGAAGCGAAAUGCCGCUCCAGAGCGACAACGAGCAGCGGCCGAGGAAGUCGACAAACUCCUCAAGGCCGGCUUCAUCCGGGAGAUAUCUUAUCCGGAGUGGCUCGCCAAUGUGGUCCUCGUCGAAAAGGCUAGCGGAAAGUGGCGCAUGUGCGUGGACUACACCGACCUGAACAAGGCUUGCCCGAAGGACAGCUUGCCACUCCCUAGCAUCGACCAGCUCAUGGACUCUGCCUCGGGACAUGAGCUGUUGACAUUCAUGGACGCCUUCUCAGGGUACAACCAGAUACGGAUGGCGCCGGAAGAUGAAGAAAAGACAGCCUUUAUUACUGACGGGAGCACCUAUUGUUACAAAGUGAUGCCCUUCGACUUAAAGAAUGCUGGAGCAACUUAUCAAAGGCUGAUCAGCCAAAUCUUCAAAGACCAAAUAGGCCGAAACAUGGAGGUCUAUGUCGACGACAUGCUGGUAAAGAGUCGAAUGACGAAGGAUCAUGUGGCUGACCUCGACGAAGCAUUCUCCAUGCUUCGAAAGCACCGGAUGAAGCUCAAUCCCGCGAAAGGUGCAUUUGGAGUCACCUCGGACAAGUUCUUCGGCUUUGUGAUCACCCAACGGGGAAUUGAAGCCAACCCCGAGAAGAUCCGAGCGCUCCAAGAGAUGGUGCCCCCAAGGACAGUUAAAGAGGUGCAGCGGCUUACGGGACGGGUUGCAGCUCUCGGAAGAUUUGUUUCCCGAUCGGCCGAGCGUUGUCUUCCGUUCUUCGCGACUCUCAAGCGGCCGAAGAAUUUUUUGUGGUCGGCGGAGUGCCAGCAAGCUUUCGAAGAGCUUAAGCGUCUCCUCGCUUCUCCUCCUUUGCUCACAAAGCCUCAGCAGGGUGAGCUCCUUUAUCUGUACCUGGCUGUUUCUCCAGUUGCAGUGAGCUCGGUCCUGGUUUGAGAGGAGAGCAAGCUUCAGAGAUCGGUAUACUACACUAGCCGGGUCUUGAGGGAUGCCGAGACCCGAUACUCCAAGCUGGAAAAGACCAUCUUUGCCCUAGUUGUCUCGGCUCGGAGACUUCGGCCCUAUUUUCAAGCUCACACGGUGGCCGUGUUGACCGACCAGCCGAUGAAGCAGAUCCUGCAACGAUCAGACCGUGCUAGCCGAAUUACAAAGUGGGCCGUCAAGCUCGGAGAGGUCGACCUCGAGUACCGACCCAGAUCGGCGAUCAAAGCGCAGGCGCUCGCCGACUUUAUAGUCGAGUGCACUGUGCCAGACGAGGCCGAGUUCGAGCGCGCACCAACGGAGCAGACCCCGAGGUCGACGUGGACUCUGCACGUCGACGGUUCUUCGAACUCGAGGGGUAGUGGAGCGGGCCUCAUCCUCACCAGUCCAGAUGGAGUGGUCGCCGAGCAGGCUCUACGUCUCGAGUUUUCCGCCUCCAACAAUGUGGCGGAAUACGAGACACUCAUCGCCGGGCUCAAGUUGGCAAGGAAGCUGGAAGUGGAGGACCUACAGGCCUUCAGCGACUCCCAACUGGUUGUGAACCAAAUCUUGGGCGACUUCGAAGCCAGAGAGCCCACGAUGCAGGAAUAUCUUCGGAAAGUGCGGGAUCUCACCUCGACCCUGAGCUCUUUCUACAUCCAACACAUUGCCAGGUCGGAGAACCUCAGAGCAGAUCAACUGUCAAAGUUGGCAUCCUCUCGCAUGAGCGAGCUUCCCAAAGCGGCAGCGCUGGAGUACCUCCAAAAACUCAGCACGGAGAAACCCGAGCCAGCCUUUUGCAUCGAAAUCGAGCCGAGCUGGAUGGACGAGCUCGUCAGCUAUCUACAAAAUGAAGUCCUCCCCAAUGACGAACGCGAGGCUCGCCGAGUCAAGCGUCUAGCCGCUCGGUACAUAUUGUACGAAGGCAGGCUUUAUCGGAGAUCUUUCACCUCUCCCCUCCUCAGAUGCCUCCGCCCGACAGAGGCGGAUUAUGCAAUGCGCGAAGUCCAUGAAGGGAUUUAUGAAAAUCAUCUCGGAGGCCGAGCGCUGGCGCACAAGAUUUUGCGCCAGGGAUAUUACUGGCCGACACUCCAGAAGGAUACGCUAGACUUCGUCCGGAGAUGCGACCGAUGCCAGAGGAACGCCAACAUCCAACGCCGACCCUCGGCCCUGCUGACCUCGAUCAGUUCCUCCUGGCCAUUUGCCCAAUGGGGAAUUGAUAUUCUGGGACCAUUUUCCCUGGCAAUCGGGCAAAGAAAAUUUUUGGUCGUCUCCAUCGACUAUUUUACUAAAUAGGUGGAAGCCGAGCCAGUCGUCCGGAUCACCAAGCAGAAGAUGCGGGACUUCGUUUGGAAGUCAAUAAUCUGCAGAUUCGGACUCCCCCGCAUCCUUAUAUCAGACAACGGUUGCCAGUUUGACAACGCUCGCUUCAGAGAGUUCUGCUCCGAGCUCGGCAUCGACCACCGCUUCACCUCGGUCGCGCAUCCUCAGACAAAUGGAGAAACCGAGGUAACGAAUCGUACUAUUUUGCAGGGGCUCAAAGCCAGGCUCGAACAGUCCAGGGGACAGUGGGUCGAAGACCUAUACAACGUCCUGUGGGCUUAUCGGACCACGUUCCGUGUACCCACCGGCGAAACUCCUUUCAAUUUGACAUAUGAAACGGAAGCCGUCAUUCCGUUGGAGAUCGGGCUCCCUUCUCCGAGGGUAGAGCAUUAUGACGCCGACUCCAGCUUCUUGCAGCUCAGAAACAACCUGGACCUAAUCAAGGAGACAAGGAAAGCCGCCCGAAUCCGCAUGGCGAGGUACCAGCAAAAGACGGCGCAAUACUACAACGCCAAAGUCAAAGUCAAGUCCUUCAAGGUGGGAGACCUCGUCCUCAGAAGAGCUGAAGCCUCUCAGCCGACCGAGCGAGAAAAUUGGCUCCGAACUGGGAAGAGCCCUACCGGGUCGUGUGCGUCCAGCGACCCGGAGCGUACAAGCUGGAGUCUCUUGACGGGAGCCCAAUUCCACGAAGCUGGAGCUCCGAAAACCUCCGGGUGUAUCACCAAUAGAACCCCAAGGGGUUCUCUAUUUGGAGCAUAAGUCUCAUCUUUUUACAAUAACUUAUCUGCAAUUGUUUCAUUGUGCUGUGUUUCUCCUGAUGUCUAAAUAUUUCGUAAUUCUUAGACAACCCGGCCCAGCUCGGACGCCCGACACAACUCAGAUGCCCAACACAACUCGGAUGCCCGACCAAGAUCGGAUGCCCCAGCCAAGCCUGGAACGCCCAGACGCGCCGAUAUCGAGCUCGGUCUCGAUCUCCCUCAGAGACCUCGACUAAGUUCGGGAUGCCCCGAGUGUCAACCGUAGAGUCCCAAACUCCCUCGAUCUCGGAAAGCGUCGCAGGUCGACAGUGCGUCCCUAGACCCCUCGACCUUGCGCACGAUUCUCCGACUAAGGUCGGGAUGCCCCGCUGAGUCGACAGUGAGCCCAAGCUCCUUCGGCCUCGGAAAGAUGGGAUAGUACCUUCGCGGCCCUNNNNNNNNNNNNNNNNNNNNNNNNNNNNNNNNNNNNNNNNNNNNNNNNNNNNNNNNNNNNNNNNNNNNNNNNNNNNNNNNNNNNNNNNNNNNNNNNNNNNNNNNNNNNNNNNNNNNNNNNNNNNNNNNNNNNNNNNNNNNNNNNNNNNNNNNNNNNNNNNNNNNNNNNNNNNNNNNNNNNNNNNNNNNNGGGAUGCCCCGUGUGUCGACCGUAGAAUCCCAAACUCCCUUGACCUCGGGAAGCGUCACCAGGUCGACGGCGAGCCCAAGCUCCCUCGGCCUCGUGCUCGAUACCUCGACCAAGGUCGGGAUGCCCCGUGUGUCGACCGUAGAGUCCUAAACUCCCUCGACCUCGGGAAGCAUUACCAGGUCGACAGCGAGCCCGGGCUCCCUCGACCUCGGGAAGACGGGAUAAUACCUUCGCGGCCCUCUGUGACUCGACAACAGCGACGGGAUAACGCCUACGCAAGUCCCCGACGACAGCGACAUCUCCCAGCAUGCCGGUGUCCCCAGAGCGGAUCUCAGGCCAAAAAAAAAAACGCCUCUGAAAGCUGACCGAGGAACGAAACGGCCUGCUUCAACAUGGGGCACCUGAUUUCGAAGGUGCAAAAGGUACAUCCCAUUUAGCACCUGCUCCAUUACAUUUAUUUGCUUAUGUAUCGCCAGUGAGAUCCCAAUCAAGCUCGGGAUCCCUCCCGACCAAGGUCGGGAUGCUCUUCUGAACCAACCCAAGGCUGAGGUCCCGGCGACCCCGUGCAUGUUUUCUUUAUUUAUGACCUCUGAAUGAGGGCUCAGCCAAGCCCGAACACCAGGAAGUCGACGUCCGUGCGUAGCAAUGACCUCGACCUUUGAUGCUCUGGUCGACUUCAAAAGUGCCAAGGCACCCACCAUAUAUUCUUAUUUUGCUUGUCGGUACCUCGACCAAGUCCGAGGCCAAUAGCCGCGAAGACCCUAGCGGCAACUUUACUUCGGUUUACAGUCCUCUCGGGGACCGACCCUACAAUUUUUCGUGAACUUACGUCUGAAAAAGCAGAGCUCAAAAACUUGGCCGAAUACUCCAGAAGAUGAAUCUGGAAGCCUAGCAAAGCCUCUUGUGGGGUCUGAGGCCCAACUUCGGUGCUUUAAAAAUUCGAGAGCAAGGCUCAAGGACCUGGCAAACUACGAACCGAGCUCAAAGAUUUAGUGAAUUUUCCUAAGGUUUGAGCCCGGCGCCAAAAGGCUCUUCAUCGGACCUAAGCUUGAUAAUCUGGCGAACGUAAUCCGAACCUAAGUCUAUGAGUUUAGCCGAACUCCAGUACUUAGGAAAAUUCGCCAGGAGGGAAUCAACUCGGACGAUUAAAGUAAAGCCCUAUUCGUUACGCAAAGAAGAGAAAAGCAGACAUGAAUUUAUAAAGAAAGCUCUCUCAUUAAUGGAAGGCCCGAAGGUUGGAGUACAAAAUUGAGGGUCGGCCAAACAACAAGUUUGAAGGCCAACCUCGCUUAUAAUAAAAGAAAAACAAAAGAAGAUAAGUCCUAGGGGGCUACGGCCUCGUUAAUGCCAGGAUCGUCCACGACGAUCACUUGGGGGCCCUCGGCGGAACUCAGCUCGGGACCCCCCGCGGCCGGCUCAGGUACCUCCCCAGUAAGAGCCUCUUGAACCGAUCGAUCAGCCUCGGCGGCCUCGGGUUCGGCAACCUGUCCCUCAACCUCGAUUCUGGCGGCCUCGGGUUCGGCAACAUGUCCCUCGACCUCGGUUCCGACGGCCUCCUCCUCGUCCUCAAGUGCGGAGGGCAAACCGAACUCAUCACCGAAUCCUGAUUUCGACCGGAUCCCAGACAGGUCGAACUGAGGGCAAUACCGAGCCAUUUGUCUUCGAAAAUUUUCGAAGCCCCGGAGGAACCCGUCCACGGUCUCCUCCUCCAACAUAUCGCGGAACUCUUCCGACUCUUUGAAGAGCUUCCCGGCAUUCUCGGCCCGCUCGAGCGCCCUUCUCUUCCAGGCCUCAAGCUGCUCGACCUUUAGGCGGAGAACUCCACCCUCAUAUUUAUAGCCGGCGGCUUCAGAGUGGGCCUCCGCAAGACGUGCCUCAGAGUCGUGCAGCGCCGUCCUCGUUAGGGCAUGCGCGGCCCUCUCUUCCUCGAGCUCAUCGGCGAUUGCUCGCCGACCGGCCUCGGUGGCCUCCCUCCGAGCGACGGCCUCAGUUAGCGCGGCCUCCGACUCCGCGAGCUUCUUCUUGGCCGAUUCCUGUUGUUUGCGGAAUCGCCGAGACUCAUUCUAGCAUUCCGAGGCAAUGAAUACCAGAGUGUCUAUUUCAUGAAUAUGCUACAGGAAAAAUAACAAUGAGUAAGAGAAAAGAAAAUGUCGACGACUAAGGACAAAAUAAGAGGACAGCUUAUCCGAGCAGUGUUGCAGUAUGUCUGGUCGACAAUCUCUUCGAGACCGAGAUUCCUGAAGUCGGCCUGGUCGGCCGGGAGCAUUGCGCGACGAAAGACGGCGCGCGCAACGUCACCAUCCCGGAAGGCCGAGCUGCCCUCCGGGAUCGGGGAUUCCGGGUCGGCCGACUCCCUUCCGGAACACCCCCGGGGCCCCUGCUCGGCUCGGGCCCCGAGCGCCGCAGGCGCAAGGCCGGCCGACCCGCUUGUUGAGAAACGGGGGCAGGAUGUUCCGAAGGCGCCGAGUCCGAUGCCCCCCUGGAACCCGAGCUCGUAUGCUCGGCGACUGGGACCCCUUCCCGGACGGACCCCGACGCUCCGGCCUCGGAACCCCUCACCUCGGCAGGGGUAGAAGCAGCAGCCAACUUGGCCUUUUUUCUGGGCUCGGGAACAGCCCCACCUGCUUCGGCUGACCUCCGUUUCAGCCGGAAGAAGAGAGAUGUGUUGCUAGUCGGCAUUCGGGGAAUGUCUGAAAUAAAAAAAGAGAAGAAGAAAAAAUUCUAAGAAAAGAGAGAAAAAAACGAAUAAGGUAAAGACAAAACAAUGUGACCGCUCUUACCCUCCGGACGUGCCGAACUCAGGCCAACGCUCGCCAAGGCACCCUCUUUUAGGAGGUCGGUCAGGUUGAAAUCCUUCCCGAGGCCCCGCGGAGCGUUAAGGACCCUCUGCUCGCUCGCCGAGGGCUCGGAGAUCCUGUUAAGGGCCUUCAGCCGGGGGUGCCCCCACUUGGGUCGAAUCCCCAUGACACCUCGGAUGCAAGAAAGAAAAAUCUUCCCUUUCACUCAUGAAUAGAGGAAGGGGCACCUUGGAAAAGUGACAUACCGCUCCGAAAGGCGAAAUAUAGCCACUCUCCAUCCGUCGGGUUUGUCUUUAAUAAAAAACACCGGCGAAAAACGCUCACCGAAGUCGGAAUCCCGUGCGCAAGGCAAAGGGACAAGAAUCCGACGAUGGUCCUCCAUGAAUUCGAAGCAAGCUGUGCUGGGACGAGUUGGUACUCCACCAGCAGGCUGUUCACGAACUCAUGGAGAGGGAACCGUAAACUAGCCCAGAGCGUCUCGAGAUGAAUCCCGAUCCGACCUGGGGUCGGCCGCGUCACCCUAUCCUCCCGCCUCGCGGUUUNNNNNNNNNNNNNNNNNNNNGAAUCCGACGAUGGUCCUCCAUGAAUUCGAAGCAAGCUGUGCUGGGACGAGUUGGUACUCCACCAGCAGGCUGUUCACGAACUCAUGGAGAGGGAACCGUAAACCAGCCCAGAGCGUCUCGAGAUGAAUCCCGAUCCGACCUGGGGUCGGCCGCGUCACCCUAUCCUCCCGCCUCGCGGUUUUGAGAUGAAACCCGGGCCGGAAAAAGAACCGGGUACGGACCAGUUCCAGCUUCUCCCCCGACAGACUAGAUCCAAUCUCAUCCGAACCAAGACCCAUUUUAGAAGAAAGAAAAACAACCAAAAGAGGAAGAAGACGAGAAAAAGCCCAAAAAAGAAGAAGAAGAGGGACCCCCUAGCUAACGCAGGAAGGAAACCUAUGGGGGGAACCGCCGGAGAUCGCUCCGAGCACCGUCGGGGAAGCUCUGUUGCGACUGAGAAAGAAGACAAGAGGAUAGAAACGGCGGAAAAAAGGGAGCAACCAAGCAAGACCUCCCUUUGAGCCAGAUUGAGGGGUUUAUAUAAACCUUUCUAACGGCCCAGAUCGGCAGAGCUGGUUUCCACCCCUCAUCCAGAUCACGCCACGUGUCGGCCUCGGAAGCCGAAGCAGCGCAUUCAUUCUGGGCUGAUGCCUCGAGUACAGAAUCGAGGCGAUGUCCCGUCGGAUCCCGAAGCCCCAUCAUGAGCUCACUAUACGAAGCAACCUCGAAGGACGAAGGGGCAUCGCCCCCUCUUCCCCCAUUAAGGACGCCCCGAAACGUGCGGAGCGCCAGAAUAAUUUAAGAUUCACUGGUCCCCACUAGUUUAAUAAUGGCAGUUACUUUCUGAGCCCGAGCUCGCGAAACGACUCGAACUCGGAAGUCGGGGGGUAGUGUUGGGGGAAUGUAAGUCGCCCCCUAAGCACAUGAGCACGCCAACGGCCCACGACCUCGGAAUUGCCCGACCCCGGACACCUGACCUGGCGCCCGACCUCGGACGUCUGACCGGACGCCCGACCUGGCGCCCCGCCAGGCGUCUAACUUCAGAGCUCUUGACCUCGGAAGUUCGACCUCGCCAACUCAUGCGACGUGCUAAGCCGUACGGCAACCUCGCCCCAUCACAUCACAGGUAACCCAACACCCCCUAUAAAAAGGGGACCCCUCCAUCCUAGAGGGGGUUGGACUCUGAAACCCGAAAAAGUAUAUCUUCCUCCUCUCUCCUCCCCCACAGAUUAGCCCCCUCUGACUUAAGCAUCGGAGGGCCGGCGCCGGAAAUCCCGGCCACCGGCUUUCUUGCAGAUCUUCCGGAGGAUGCUGCCCGCCGACGGAUCGCCGCCCGCCAGUUCUCGCCGGAGCUCCUCCUUCCCAGCGGACAGGUCACCCCCGGGUCCCAUUUCCAGCAACAAACAAAAGCCAUGAUCAGUUCUUUGGUUCAGUGAAGAGAGAGAACAGGCAGUGGGGUGGGGAGUGGUACCAUCUCCCCAAUGGACAGUUUUGCAUCAGUGAAGAGAGAGAACAGGGAACCGAAGCUUGAGGUCGCAAGAACAAGGAUGAGGCUGACUGAUUUAGAAAAAGAUCAUGUCUCAAUGAAACAAGAGUUUGUUCACAAUGUAAAAGUAUCAUUCUAAUUGGUGAAGCCGGUCAUGAAUCCUUGACGGCUCCUAUCCCAUCUACAAUGUCCUUUUCCCUCCUACCACAUCCAGCAGCACCGAAUUUAACUCCCCUGGACCUCUCUUCACCUCCCCACCCCUCUCCAAACCCAAACGACCUCACUCAUAACCACCUCUGGCUUUCUCCAGCUCCCUCUCUCUUCUUCUCACGUUUCCAGCUGUUGCUGGAAAUGGGAUCUGGAGGCGACCGUUGGCUGAGAAGAAGAAGCUCCAGCAAGUGGUGUGGCGGUGGGCUGCGUCCUCCGGGGGACCUGCAAGAAGCAGGUGGCUGGAGUUUCCGGCGCCGGCCCUCCGAUGCUUAAGUUAGAGAGGGACUCUUAUGGAGAGAAAGAGAUAUUGCAUGUAGAAGUCAAAAGUCAGAAGUCCUCUCCUCUGAGAAGAGGGAGUCUUCCUUUUAUAGGAGGGGUGUCAGGGUUACGUGCGAUGUAACUGUGCGAAUUAAUGAGUUACCGUCAUAAUUGGACGUGAUCGUGUGAAUUAAUGAGUUGCCGUGGAUGACUGGACGUGAUUGAGUCAAUGAGUUGCCGUGGAUGACUGGACGUGAUUGAGUCAAUGAGUUGCCGUGGAUGGCUUGAGAUUUCGGGCUGGCUGGAGGUCCGUGGAGAUCGUGCGCAUUUAACUGUUAACAGUCGCUCAGGCAGAGAUCGCGGGAUUGGAUCCCGGAUAAGGAGGAGAAGGGCUUGAUUUUCGGUGAGAUGGAGAAGUCUGCUUCGUCCUUUGACCGAGUCUUCCUCGGACUUGAGGUCGAUCGGGGUUCGGCUUGGUCGAGAUCAAGGCCGCAAGCUCUGAGGUCGAGCGCCUUCAAGUCGUGCUCCUUUGAGGGUUGCUGCUAUUACGCUCGCCAUCACGUAUCGGUGAUGAAUCCACGUAUUUUGGGGCAAUUCAUUUUUCCCCCGACACCAACCAAUGUCCUCAAAAAUCUUGGACACCGCAGCACCGAAAGCUCAAGGCCACAACCCACCCUCAGUGGGCUUCUGUCGGGCUAAGCCAUCCUCAUCGUCAUCGCCAGCAACCACAGAGCCAGGGAGGUUCCUUGGUGUGAGGAGAAGGCCUUGGGGGAGGUAUGCUGUUGAGAUAAGGGACCCCACGACCAAGGAAAGGCAUUGGCUUGGGACCUUCGACCCUGCCCAAGAGGCUGCCCUGGCCUACGAUAUCGAGGGAAUGCGACGGCUACCAUGGGCAGUCUUACGGCAGCUAGGAAGCCGAUCAUUUUAGUCCCACAUCGCCUGCGUGCAAAAUAAUAUGUUCGUUUAAGAUACAGAAGUCCCGCUCCCUUGAUCGCCGAGCUUCGUUGCGGGAGCUUGUAACCCGAGUGGGGGCAUUAAAGUUGUUUGGACGCUUGGUCAUACCCCCGAGUACAGGCUCAGGUGGUGCGUAUGGAUCCGGCUAGCCCGUUCCAAGUUUGAUUAGUGAGAUGUGCGAUUUGAGCGAAGGCUUGGUUCGCGCAUCUCCUGAAGAGGAGGGAACAGCGUUAGGCUGGUAUCACAGAGCAGCGAACACCUCCCGCUCUCAACGGUGAAAGGACAGUUAGCCGCCGCCCCACUGACCCUCUUAGGCUCGCAGGCAGACCAAUUGUGGACAACCACUUUUUUUUGUCUUUUCUCCGUACCCUUAUUUCUAAGCCCCUCGAAAAAAAAUAGAAUUAGGCUUCAUAUACCUCAAAAAUAAUAUUCAUUCGAUGAGACCGCCUUCUUAAUUAAAAAAACAUAAAUCAUGGUCAGAUAUAUAUAAAAUAUACCCUCCACGCAUGCUUCUAUUCCUAUUUCCUCUACAAAAUAAUAUAUAUUUAAUUUAAUGUAAUUUCAAAAAAUAUAGCCAGAUAAAUAAGAAUAAAUUAUUUCUAUUCCAACUUCUAGUGAAUUCAUUUUUGACUAUCAAUAAUUAUAUUCUUAGGUAUAAAAGAAUUGCUAACCAAGUUGCAAGGUUCAUCCGGCAUAGUUUCAAGCUCGCCCAAUCCAGUCAGCCAACGAGUUAAGUCCGAAUCCAAAAUUAUGACCCAAAAGAUAAGCAAGCUCGGUCCGACCCAAUCCUACCCAUUUGCAGACAUAGACAAAUCAGCAGUCCCUAUAUUCAAUGUGUCAAUGUGUCAUUUGCUAGCGUGACAUCUAAUUCCAAAUUCCAUGAGGACAUAAUUGCAUAUUAUCAUCAAAUAAUACAUACAUGCCAACAAAUUAUGAGGUUACAACUAUCGUCAUGCUUCUUUUUGGUCCACCAUAAAAUUUGCACAUGCACCCCACUAUUCUGAAUUAUCUAUAACAUAUGCUCAAUAAGAUUUUCAUACACAAGAAUAAAAGAAAAUAUACAAA
rnacentral:lncRNA from 1 species